rnacentral:rRNA from 1 species
GGCUACUGCUAUCGGGGUUCGAUUAAGCCAUGCGAGUUAAAUGUUCUUCGUGAACAUAGCGAACUGCUCAGUAACACGUGGAUAACCUACCCUUAGGACCGGAAUAACCCCGGGAAACUGGGGAUAAUACCGGAUAAGCCAUAGACGCUGGAAUGCCCUAUGGUUCAAAGCUCCGGCGCCUAAGGAUGGAUCUGCGGUCUAUCAGGUUGUAGUGGGUGUAACGUACCUACUAGCCGACGACGGAUACGGGUUGUGAGAGCAAGAGCCCGGAGAUGGAUUCUGAGACACGAAUCCAGGCCCUACGGGGUGCAGCAGGCGCGAACACUUUACAAUGCGGGAAACCGCGAUAAGGGAACCCCGAGUGCCAGCAUCAAAUGUUGGCUGUCCAGAUGAUUAAAAAUCAUUUGUUAGCAAGGGCCGGGCAAGACCGGUGCCAGCCGCCGCGGUAACACCGGCGGCCCGAGUGGUAGCCGUUUUUAUUGGGUCUAAAGGGUCCGUAGCCGGCUUGAUAAGUCCUUUGGGAAAUCUGGCAGCUUAACUGUCAGGCUUCUAAGGGAUACUGUCAGGCUUGGGACCGGAAGAGGUAAGGGGUACUCCAGGGGUAGGAGUGAAAUCUUGUAAUCCCUGGGGGACCAUCUGUGGCGAAGGCGCCUUACCAGAACGAGUCCGACGGUGAGGGACGAAAGCUAGGGGAGCAAACCGGAUUAGAUACCCGGGUAGUCCUAGCUGUAAACGAUGCUCGCUAGGUGUCAGACACGGUGCGACCGUGUUUGGUGCCGCAGGGAAGCCGUUAAGCGAGCCACCUGGGAAGUACGGUCGCAAGGCUGAAACUUAA